rnacentral:misc_RNA from 1 species
GGAAAAAAUAGUAAAAAAAAGACACUACAUCUUUGCUUCAAAAACAGUGGUGGCCUUUUAGCCUCUGCCAUUUCUCAUUCAGUAUCUGCAGAAGCUUUUGUGGUUUUGCUCUUCAUUCUUCCAUAUUCAUUCACAGACCAAAUGUCGCUCACCCAACAUAUUCCCACCUCUAUCUCCUCUUCUUCCUCUUCUUUUUUAGCUUCUUCAGUCUUCCCCUAUAGAAACAGGGAUGUUUCGCUUCCCUCGAAAAAUUUUGGGACUUGUAGGUGUGUAGCAAUCCCUCAGGAAGAGAAGACCAGUGAGUUUUGCCCCUUCUUGUUGGGAUUUUGGUAGAAACAAAUGCAGUUAUAUUUGAUUUUAUUUGGGUUUUCUUGGAAUUGAGCUCACUUCGAUUGUUUGUGAUAAAAUUUGUAUGUGCUGUUGAUGUUUUUGUUAAGCCUACAAGACGAAUGUUUCUCGUAAUGCAAACAUGGCCAAGCUUCAAGCUGGGUACCUGUUUCCAGAGGUCUGUAUUUGGCACUAUCUCUAUGGUUUUCUGCUGCUACAAUGUUCUUCUUAUUAUGGAAAAAGUUUUUAUAUUUAACUUAAAUGCCUUUCAUUUUUGGAUUACAUGUUUGUCUUUUACCAUUUGGGUGUGAAACCAAAUCAGUUUAUCAGAUGUGUUUCAAUUCUCUGUGGACUCCCAUUCUUCUCCUUUUCAGUUAUCCCGAUGUCAUCUUUUAUAUUUGCUGAAGUUGAAUGUUUACGUUAUAAUCAUAAUUGUAUUUUGGAUAUCUUUGAACAGUAUUCUUUUUUGGGUUAAAUAUUAGUAAAAAAAAAAAUUGCCCUGCAUUGAUCUCAUUCCAAGCAACAGUUGAGGAAAAUAAGCACACAAAGGAAAUUUUACAUAUGAUCUUUGUUGAGGUACAUUUUUUUUUUCCGUUGUGAUUGGUUACUUGAUGAUAGAUCGUGAAAAUUCCUGGUUGACUAGAAGGCAUGUUAGCUAGGGAAAAAACCUGCAAAAUGGAGAGGAAGCAUAAAGGUGACAGGGCAUACCCUUUUUGGUGCUUAAAGUUAGCAGCCAGCAAAGAAUAAUAGGGAUUUAGAGAGGAGAGGAAGAUUACUCUAUGUUAGUCUGUUUGCCUGUUUACAGGGACAAGGGUAGAGCCUACUUUUUCACAUUCCAUCCUUUUCCUUGUGUCUCUUUAGCUUUCUGUAGUUAAAAAUUAUUGAUCAGUGUUACUAGUCACCUCUCACUCCUUAGUUCGAGUUGAGCAUACUCACAAGGAAGCAAGAUUCAGGCCAUCGGUGUAAUGAGUAUUCAAGGUUACUGUCUGAUGUUUAAUCGUGUAAGAUCCCAUCUUGGUUAAUUGAUUGAACGCAUCAAGGCUGAAGAAUUUAUUACUUUUUAGACUGUUUAUUGCUCAUAUGUCUAAAUGGCUGUUCACAAAUUGAUAGUUUUAAAACUGUUGUUAUUUUCUUCUGUUGUUAAAUUUUAUGGGAGUAUAUUGGUUUUGGUCAUUCAUUUUUCUCCUUUGCCUCUUCUAUUUUGCCCCAUCUUUGCAAAAAGAUUGCUCGUAGGAGGAAUGCCCACUUGCAGAAAUACCCUGAUUCAAAAGUGAUAAGCCUCGGAAUUGGCGACACCACUGAGCCCAUUCCAGAAGUAAUAACUUCUGCAAUGUCAAAGGUAUGGCUUCCUUCCGUUUAUCCUAUUAGUUUUAUUUGCUAUUGCCCAAAUUCAUUGCUUAUGAACUAUUUUGUUAUUUGAAAUCUAGUCUCUUUACUUUUCCUGGCGUUGAUGUUUACAUAUGGUGAACGGUAAUAAUUUACAACUGGCAGUAUGAUUGUAAUUUAAAAAGUUUCAUUUUUCACCUCAAGUUAAUUCUUGUGUACGGGCCUGUGGGUGGGCAUACUGCUCAACUGAAAAAAUGAAGGUUUAUUGUAUUUAUCUCAGAUUAAGAAAUUUGUCCUCCUUUUGACAGAGAUCACAAGCAUUGUCCACUCUUCAGGGUUACAGCGGUUAUGGAGCUGAACAAGGUGAAAAAGUAUGUGGAAAUCUUAUUAACUGGCUGAUAGAAUGCAUAAUUUUAGGUGUUUGAUUAUUGUGAGUUUUAUUUUGUCUGGCCAUUGUCAAGAACUCUUUUACAGACAAGAGGCUAGAAAUUGGCCGAAACGACAUAGGAUGAGCUAUGCAAAUGGUAGUGUAGCAUAUGAAAUACGUGGAGAAUAAUAUAAUUUGUUGUAAAAAUUUUCAUCCUUUCCUAUUUUAAUAGUUAAUUUUUAGGUGUUGCAUUUAUUUUUUGUCAGAAUGCAUUUAUCUGGAACUGGAAAUGACACGUUAAAUAAGGAAAGUAAACAAUAAAACUUGUCUGGUGUUUGUUUCUGUUUUCAUUCCCUUCAGCUCCCAAAAAAUCUUUGGACUAUUAGCUUUGUGGUAGAUGAAGAGUAACAUAAAUGGUUGAACUGUGCAGCCAUUGAGAGCUGCAAUUGUUUCAACAUUUUAUGGAGGCCUUGGCAUUGACGAAGAUGAUAUAUUCGUCUCAGAUGGUGCAAAAUGUGACAUAUCCCGCCUUCAGGUUCUUUUUGGGUCUGAAGCCACUAUUGCAGUGCAGGAUCCAUCAUACCCGGCAUAUGUAGACUCUAGUGUCAUAAUGGGCCAGACAGGACUGUAUCAGAAGGAUGCAGAGAAAUAUGGAAAUAUUGAAUACAUGAGGUGUAAUCCUGAAAAUGGCUUCUUUCCUGAUUUAUCUAAGGUCUGCCGAGCUGAUAUCAUAUUUUUCUGUUCGCCAAACAAUCCUACUGGUUCUGCUGCAACAAGAGAGCAACUGACACAACUAGUACAGUUUGCCAAGGACAAUGGGUCAAUUAUUGUCUAUGAUUCAGCAUAUGCAAUGUAUAUAUCUGAUGAUAAGCCACGCUCCAUAUUUGAAAUUCCUGGAGCCAAAGAGGUUGCACUUGAGACAGCAUCAUUUAGCAAGUACGCUGGGUUUACUGGAGUCCGUCUAGGUUGGACUGUGGUUCCAAAAGAGCUUCUUUUUUUGGAUGGCUUUCCUGUUGCCAAGGACUUCAACCGUAUUGUUUGUACUUGCUUUAAUGGUGCAUCCAAUGUUGUCCAAGCUGGUGGUCUGGCUUGCCUUUCACCAGAAGGCCGUAACGCAAUGCAAAAGGUGGUUGGAUUUUACAAAGAAAACGCUGAUAUUAUAAUGGAUACAUUUAAUUCACUUGGUUUUAAUGUGUAUGGGGGGAGGAAUGCACCAUAUGUAUGGGUUCACUUCCCUGGCCGGAGUUCAUGGGAUGUAUUUAGUGAGAUUCUUGAGAAGACUCACGUUGUUACCACACCUGGAAGUGGAUUUGGACCUGGUGGUGAAGGUUUUAUCAGGGUUAGUGCUUUUGGUCACAGGGACAAUGUAUUAGAAGCCUGCAGAAGGUUCAAGCAGCUCUACAAGUGAACCUGCUUUACUCUUUCAUUAGUUGUAUUGAUCAUUUCAAAUAAUGAAAUGCAAAAUAUUUAGCAAUUGUAGAAGGCUAACCUCAUUGUUUUGGAGGUCUAGAUUUUUCUGUGGCAUUGUUGCUUGUCUCAAAAUUGUAACAUUUCAGCAAAUUUGUGGUUUCCAAAAUGUUUUUUUGAAUAAUAAUGCAGUUCUAUAA